rnacentral:rRNA from 1 species
GACGAACGCUGGCGGCGCGCCUAACACAUGCAGGUCGAACGAGCGAGAGAGAGCUUGCUUUCUCGAGCGAGUGGCGAACGGGUGAGUAACGCGUGAGGAACCUGCCUCAAAGAGGGGGACAACAGUUGGAAACGACUGCUAAUACCGCAUAAGCCCACGGUGCCGCAUGGCACAGAGGGAAAAGGAGCAAUCCGCUUUGAGAUGGCCUCGCGUCCGAUUAGCUAGUUGGGGAGGUAAUGGCCCACCAAGGCGACGCUCGGUAGCCGGACUGAGAGGUUGAACGGCCACAUUGGGACUGCGACACGGCCCAGACUCCUACGGGAGGCAGCAGUGGGGAAUAUUGCACAAUGGGGGAAACCCUGAUGCAGCGACGCCGCGUGGAGGAAGAAGGUCUUCGGAUUGUAAACCCCUGUUGUUGGGGAAGAUAAUGACGGUACCCAACAAGGAAGUGACGGCUAACUACGUA